CGAUGAAUGCAUCGAGCUGCAUUAGAAAACGAUAUAAUGGAGAAAUAUAGCCGCUUGCUGUUUGCUUAUACUCGUCUCAGUUUUUUGUCUGAUAUGCCUUGACAAUGACCAGAUGUCAUGUUGGAUGCUACUAAUUGGUUAUGAGCUAUACACAGACGAAGCAGUGGCUGUUUGGAUACUUUCUAAACUACUACCCCAAGGGGCGAUAAAAGUUAGUUUGGGUUACGUGAGGCAUGCUAGAAAAAGGGAACAUGUUUCUGAUCUUUUUGUUUUCCUGGCAGACAUUCUACACAAACUUGUCCAAAGGCGCAAGGAAGGCACGCACAGAUGGACACAGAAAUCAUGGGACUUCCACAGAAGCUGUGAAUGAGCAUUAACCUAUGGAUGGAUGCUAUGGGUGUUCCCUUUAAAGCGAAGCACUGACAUACGUACAGAAAGGAGCGAAGUGGAGCUGUCCAUGGGCCGUGCACACAGCUUCUAAGCAGGCUUACAAC